GUGCUCACUUCAGCAGCACAUAUGCUAAAAUUGGCAUGAUACAAAGAAGAUUAGCAAGGCCCCUACACAAGGAUGACAUGCAAAUUCUUGAAGCAUUCCAUAUUUUU